rnacentral:rRNA from 1 species
AUUGAACGCUGGCGGCAGGCUUAACACAUGCAAGUCGAGCGGGGAAGGGUAGCUUGCUACUGACCUAGCGGCGGACGGGUGAGUAAUGCUUAGGAAUCUGCCUAUUAGUGGGGGACAACAUUCCGAAAGGAAUGCUAAUACCGCAUACGCCCUACGGGGGAAAGCAGGGGAUCUUCGGACCUUGCGCUAAUAGAUGAGCCUAAGUCAGAUUAGCUAGUUGGUGGGGUAAAGGCCUACCAAGGCGACGAUCUGUAGCGGGUCUGAGAGGAUGAUCCGCCACACUGGGACUGAGACACGGCCCAGACUCCUACGGGAGGCAGCAGUGGGGAAUAUUGGACAAUGGGCGCAAGCCUGAUCCAGCCAUGCCGCGUGUGUGAAGAAGGCCUUUUGGUUGCAAAGCACUUUAAGCGAGGAGGAGGCUACUUGGAUUAAUACUCUAGGAUAGUGGACGUUACUCGCAGAAUAAGCACCGGCUAACUCUGUGCCAGCAGCCGCGGUAAUACAGAGGGUGCGAGCGUUAAUCGGAUUUACUGGGCGUAAAGCGUGCGUAGGCGGCUUUUUAAGUCGGAUGUGAAAUCCCUGAGCUUAACUUAGGAAUUGCAUUCGAUACUGGGAAGCUAGAGUAUGGGAGAGGAUGGUAGAAUUCCAGGUGUAGCGGUGAAAUGCGUAGAGAUCUGGAGGAAUACCGAUGGCGAAGGCAGCCAUCUGGCCUAAUACUGACGCUGAGGUACGAAAGCAUGGGGAGCAAACAGG